CUUUGCUAUCCUACGCAUGCAGCUCAGGGAUCAAGCAGCAGCUUUGUGGAUCCUCACCUGGGCUCUUCCUGGAGAACCCUGUGUUGGGUGCACAGUAUCAGGAGAUGGUAGGAUUGCAUAGGCACUUGUGGAAUGAUGGAGUGGAAUCUCAGGUGUGACUAUGAGAGGCAUCAGUGAUAAGAUGCAGUGGUUUGAGACAUAGUAACUGAAGAUAUGGACACUAAAUCCCUCCAUAUUUCUAUACAGUGAAAAAUCAAUAAUGGUAAUUGGAAUCUCUGUCUCCCUCAGCCCUGAUUUAUCCUUCCUCUUUGUGGUUUAUACUUUCCAUGUAUGAACCAUAAAACUGUAAUGGAGAAACAUUUUUGCCUAUGAGGAGCAAAGAGAGCUGCUUUGCUGAAUGACUGUGAGUAAAUGAGGAUUCUUUGAAGAAGUGCAGGGCUUCUGUUCCUCCGUGUUGUGGGCAGCACACGCCUGCCCUAUUCGUCUUCGUCAUGGCUGCACCUGUGCUACAGAAUGCUCAUAGACUAGUGCUGCCCAUGCAGGGAGCCCAGAGGCUGCACUUUCUCAGUUUACCUCAUGGCUUCAGAGUGACAUGAGGCAUUGAAAUAAGUGAGCAUUGAAUCUGAGGGCUCAGGAGCCACCUUCUACCUUUGCUCCUUUGGUGACAUGCUAGAUGCCCUCUGGUAAGUCAGUUAAAUUCUUUGGGCCUCCUCUGAAAAUUGGAUCCAAUGAGGCCAACACUUCCUGUUUCACAGGGUUACAUGGGGCUCACAUGCAAUUCAAGAACAAACUUUGUAAUACGAGGCAAAAGAUACACAAACAAGCAUGUACAUUACUCAGACAAAGGCUUGGUCCUAUGAGACAAUGGGGCAUGUUCUCAUAAGAUUCCUGUGAACUUUGUAGGCUCUUGGGGCUACAGGAAAACAAUUUUAAUUGAAGAGAGAAAGAAGAAUGAGACCAGGAUGUGGCCAUGGGUGAUCUCAGCUACAGAGCAUCCUGCCCAAGAAGCCUUGGCACAGUCCACGUGAUGUCAUGCCCCAGAGUUAAAGAAACUAGUAACUCACUGCAAUUCUUGAGUUUAUAAGAUGACAGACAAAAAAGAAACAACGUGUGGAGAUGUUGAAACUCCCUCUGCUUAUGAGAUAAAAAGAACUGGCUGAAAUUGGUUGGAACCAAUGUGGCCAAAUAAAGUCUGCACAGAACAAGCUUGCUGAUGUCACAGCCUGAAUUUCAACACAAGUUUCAUACUAACUACCCCCAAAUUUGCACAUGAGACCCAUGAGGAGGUAUGAAGAGAUAACUGUGUGAGGCUGAGGACUUUCCAGACCUCCCUUUUCCUUCUACCAAUUACCUACUAACCCCAGAAUCCACCCCUAAACCUUUUCUAAUAAAAUUACUGCCUUAAAGCCAGCACAGGAAGACAGAUUUGAGCUGUACUUCUGUCUCCUUGUUGGUUGAUGUACAAUAAAAAGCUUUUAUAUUUUCUCAAAAAAAAC
rnacentral:lncRNA from 10 species